AUUCCGGUUGAUCCUGCCGGAGGCUAUUGCUAUCGGUGUCCGAUUUAGCCAUGCGAGUUGUACGUUUAACGUAGCAGACUGCUCAGUAACACGUGGCCGAUCUACCCUAUGGACUGGGAUAACCACGGGAAACUGUGGCUAAUCCCUGAUAGCGCUCCCGAGCUUGAAUGCUGGGAGCGUUAAACGCUCCGGCGCCAUAGGAUGAGGCUGCGGCUGAUUAGGUAGACGGUGAGGUAACGGCUCACCGUGCCAAUAAUCGGUACGGGUCAUGAGAGUGAGAACCCGGAGACGGAAUCUGAGACAAGAUUCCGGGCCCUACGGGGCGCAGCAGGCGCGAAACCUUUACACUGCACGCCAGUGCGAUAGGGGGACACCGAGUGCGGAGGCAUAGAGCCUUCGCUUUUGUGUACCGUAAGGUGGUACACGAAUAAGGGCUGGGCAAGACCGGUGCCAGCCGCCGCGGUAACACCGGCAGCCCGAGUGAUGGCCGAUAUUAUUGGGCCUAAAGCGUCCGUAGCUGGCCGCGUAGGUCCGUCGGGAAAUCUACUGGCUCAACCAGUAGGCGUCCGGCGGAAACCUCGUGGCUUGGGACCGGAAGACCUGAGGGGUACGUCUGGGGUAGGAGUGAAAUCCCGUAAUCCUGGACGGACCACCGGUGGCGAAAGCGCCUCAGGAAGACGGAUCCGACAGUGAGGGACGAAAGCUAGGGUCUCGAACCGGAUUAGAUACCCGGGUAGUCCUAGCUGUAAACGAUGCUCGCUAGGUGUGCCGCAGGCUACGAGCCUGCGCUGUGCCGUAGGGAAGCCGUGAAGCGAGCCGCCUGGGAAGUACGU
rnacentral:rRNA from 1 species